rnacentral:rRNA from 1 species
UCAAGAAACUUCCACAAUGGGCGAAAGCCUGAUGGAGCGACGCCGCGUGAUGGACGAAGUGCUUCGGCACGUAAACAUCUUUUAUGUGGGAUGAAAUUAUUGACAGUACCACAUGAAUAAGGGGCUCCUAACUCUGUGCCAGCAGGAGCGGUAAUACAGAGGCCCCAAGCGUUAUCCGGAAUCACUGGGCGUAAAGGGUGUCGAGGCGGUUGUAUUAGUCGUUCGUAAAAUCUACGAGCUUAACUUGUAGGCGGCGAACGAAACGGUACGACUUGAGGUUUGGAGAGGUGCGUGGAACUCACGGUGUAGGGGUGAAAUCCGUUGAUAUCGUGGGGAACACCAAAGGCGAAGGCAGCGCACUGGCCAAAAUCUGACGCUCACACACGAAAGCUAGGGUAGCGAAGAGGAUUAGAUACCCGCGUAGUCCCUGAGCGGGCUGGCAAGGCGCAU